rnacentral:rRNA from 1 species
UACGGAGGGUGCGAGCGUUGUCCGGAAUCAUUGGGCGUAAAGGGUGCGUAGGUGGGCUGGUAAGUCAGUGGUGAAAUCUCCAGGCUUAACUUGGAAACUGCCAUUGAUACUAUUAGUCUUGAAUACCGUGGAGGUCAGCGGAAUAUGUCAUGUAGCGGUGAAAUGCUUAGAUAUGACAUAGAACACCAAUUGCGAAGGCAGCUGGCUACACGAAUAUUGACACUGAUGCACGAAAGCGUGGGGAUCAAACAGG